AUUGGCUGGAUCAUCAUAAUGGGCGGGGGGUUACUUCCACGGGGUUCAACCCACUCAGCUAAGAAGGAAGACCUGGAGCGAGUUAGGAAUUGUUUGCUGCGGAUGGAACAACCCGGGGUCGGGCUCUGCUGCACCCUGGCGGCAUGUUGCAGUCAUUGCGUCACUGGCGCCUGCCCCUGCCUCCUCGCGGGCCGGCCUAGUUCUACCUCCUUCACGCUGGAUGCCCUGGGGUUUAAGAGAUGACAAAUCGGCUUUCUCCCAGGACGAGGAGUCUCCUCUCUAAUGAUUGACUGGUCGUUAUCAGCGACUUUUUGAACUGUUCCAGUAAGAGGGAAUUACUGCUGCAAGGAGGCUAUUCUCAUUUUUUCAUUGCUGGAACUAUUAAAAACUUACCCAGGGUAAUAAUUAUAGUAAUAAUAAUAACCAGCACCAACUUCUCCUGUCAAUCCAGUUGCUCCUCAGGACUUAUUGAGCAUUUAUUAUGUGCUAGAUAGUCUUCUAAGCACUUAGCACAUACUGACUCAUUUAAUUGCCACAGUAAUCUUAUAAGAUAGGUGAUCUAGUGAAUCCCAUUUUAUGGAUGAAAAAACAGAGGCACUGGAGAGGUUAAUAAACUUGACCAAAGGAUGAUGACUAAUGCCUCCAAAAUCUUUAAUAAUAUCGCCAUUUCCUAAAGUUAAAUGGAACAUUGUUUUCUCUUCACAUAACCCCCUCAUGUCCCCAAAUAUUAUCUGGGUUAAACGCUUGUGGGUUUUCUUAAUUUUUAUUAGUAUUUCAUAUUUCUUCAUUUUUCAAGGUUUCCUAGUUCUCUGGGUCACUGUCCCCUGGGCAGGCUAGAGUUGAUUAGUGUUGUUCUUACUAGGUGGGGGCCCCUAGAUCUGAACACCGUUUCCACUGUCAUCUGACCAGUCCAUAUCCUCAUUUGAAUAAUGUGCUUCUAGCGAUGCAGACUAACUGUAAUUAUGAAAAUAGUUAACCCUUAUUGAAUUUGUUUAUGUACCAGGCCCUGUGCCAAGCGCUUUCUGGAAGAACCACAUGUGAAAGGUAUUUUUGUAUCUUUUUUUGUACAUGAAUCAUUGGAAGCUUAAAGAAGUUGGUUAACUUGGCCAAGGACACAGUGAUCCAAGCCCAGGGCACUUGGCCAUGAGGAUGUAUUAUAUUUCCUUCCCUUUGCACCCACCUAUGACACACGUCUGACCAUUUAAGCCUUUGGCUUCAGCAAGAUGGAAAGCAAUUUGUCUUCUCCUAAAGAUCAAAGCCUGCUCUGACCCUGUGGGAAAUACACUUACCAUUUACCCAGACAAUUACUUUCCCCAGGUUCCAGGAGGUGCCAAAUCUCCCCUUUUUCUCCUUCCAGACAAUCACAGCCCUCAUUAAGCCCUUCCUGUUUGCACUCUCAUUUCCUACAUAAAUUCCUAUCAAGGUUACCAGCCCUCCCCAGUUUAUUCCUUUCUCUCUUUCCCAGCCAUGGCCUCUCAGCCACCAGUCACCUCUUCCCCCAACCCCCUGACCUCCCACUUCUCUUCUCAAUUCAACUGCUCUUCAGGAUUUCUGGUUGCACUACCUCUGGAGACAAGACUCUAGCAUUUGUUCUUAGUUACCUGACCCUCAGGAAGAUUUAGGCUUUUUUUUUUUCUCCCAUCUCACCUUGUAUAAAUAUGUCUUCUCAGUAUAGUAAUGUCAUUGGAUUGAGGAUACUUGUUUGCAGAGGAGGCAAGAAUGCGUUGUUCCGUUUUUGAAUUCCACACAUCUAAUAUGGAGCCUGAGCCACAGGGCUCAAAAUGUUAAGUAAACAAAUGAAUGGGAAAUUAAUAAGAAGAAUGCAUUGGCAAGACCGUGAAGAAGGCCUGCCAUGGGAAGCUUUGGGAAGAAGCCAGCUGCCAUGUUGUGAGAACUCUCAAGCAGCUGUGUGGAGAGAUCCAUGUGGUGAGGAACUGAAGCCUCCUACCCACCAUCAAGUCAGUGGCUCACUACUGUUGCAGUGAAUUCUCCAGCCCAUGAAGACUUUAGAUGAUUUACCCAACAUCUUGAUUAUAGCCUCAUGGAUUCCCUGAGCCAGAACAACCCAGCUAAGCCUCUCCUGAAUUCCUUACCUACAGAAACUGUGAGAUAAUAAAUAUUUAUUC
rnacentral:lncRNA from 1 species